GCCUCGGUAGUCUAACUGGUAGGACGCUCGCACGGAAUGUCAGAGAUCCGGGUUCGACUCCUGGCCGAGGUA
rfam:Cyphomyrmex costatus contig13912, whole genome shotgun sequence.